CCUACGGGUGGCAGCAGUGGGGAAUAUUGCACAAUGGGGGAAACCCUGAUGCAGCAACGCCGCGUGGGUGAAGAAGUAUUUCGGUAUGUAAAGCCCUAUCAGCAGGGAAGAGAAUGACGGUACCUGACUAAGAAGCCCCGGCUAACUACGUGCCAGCAGCCGCGGUAAUACGUAGGGGGCAAGCGUUAUCCGGAUUUACUGGGUGUAAAGGGGGCGCAGACGGCAAUGCAAGCCAGGAGUGAAAGCCCGGGGCCCAACCCCGGGACUGCUCUUGGAACUGCAUGGCUGGAGUACAGGAGGGGCAGGCGGAAUUCCUAGUGUAGCGGUGAAAUGCGUAGAUAUUAGGAGGAACACCGGUGGCGAAGGCGGCCUGCUGGACUGUGACUGACGUUGAGGCCCGAAGGCGUGGGGAGCAAACAGGAUUAGAUACCCUAGUAGUC
rnacentral:rRNA from 1 species